UACGAACGCUGGCGGCGUGCUUAACACAUGCAAGUCGAACGGUGAAGCACCUUCCUUUUGGUGGGUGUGGAUGAGUGGCGAACGGGUGAGUAACACGUGAGUAACCUGCCCCCUUCUUCUGGAUAACCGCAUGAAAGUGUGGCUAAUACGGGAUAUUCUUUGCCUGCUGCAUGGUGGGUGUGGGAAAGAUGCGCUUUUGGGAGUUUUUGGUGGGGGAUGGGCUCGCGGCCUAUCAGCUUGUUGGUGGGGUGAUGGCCUACCAAGGCGGUGACGGGUAGCCGGCCUGAGAGGGUGGACGGUCACACUGGGACUGAGACACGGCCCAGACUCCUACGGGAGGCAGCAGUGGGGAAUAUUGCACAAUGGGCGCAAGCCUGAUGCAGCGACGCCGCGUGAGGGAGGGAGGCCUUCGGGUUGUAAACCUCUUUCGCCAGUGAAGCAGGCCUGUCCCUUGUGGGUGGGUUGACGGUAGCUGGAUAAGAAGCGCCGGCUAACUACGUG
rnacentral:rRNA from 1 species